GAUGAACGCUGGCGGCGUGCUUAACACAUGCAAGUCGAACGGAAAGGCUCCAGCUUGCUGGAGUACUCGAGUGGCGAACGGGUGAGUAACACGUGGGUGAUCUGCCCUGCACUUCGGGAUAAGCCUGGGAAACUGGGUCUAAUACCGGAUAGGACCGCACUUUGGUGUGUGUGGUGGAAAGGUUUUUCUGGUGUGGGAUGAGCUCGCGGCCUAUCAGUUUGUUGGUGGGGUAAUGGCCUACCAAGACGGCGACGGGUAGCCGGCCUGAGAGGGUGGACGGGCACAUUGGGACUGAGGUACGGCCCAGACUCCUACGGGAGGCAGCAGUGGGGAAUAUUGCACAAUGGGGGAAACCCUGAUGCAGCGACGCCGCGUGGGGGAUGAAGGCCUUCGGGUUGUAAACUCCUUUCGCUAGGGACGAAGCUUUUUGUGACGGUACCUGGAGAAGAAGCACCGGCUAACUACGUG
rnacentral:rRNA from 1 species